rnacentral:rRNA from 1 species
CCGGCGGCAGCCUACACAUGCAAGUCGUACGGAGAGUGGGGCGACUCACUCUCAGUGGCAAACGGGUGAGUAACACGUGAAUAACCUGCCUUUGAGAAGGGGAUAACUGUCCGAAAGGAUAGCUAAUACCCUAUAUUGCCUUUUGUCACUAAGGCAAAAGGUGAAAGCGAGGCUGUCAAAGGCUUCGGCUCAGAAGAGGGGUUCGCGUCCUAUCAGGUAGUUGGUGGGGUAAUGGCCUACCAAGCCAAUGACGGGUAGCUGGUCUUAGAGGAUAAUCAGCCACAGUGGGACUGAGACACGGCCCGCACCCCUACGGGGGGCAGCAGUGGGGAAUCGUGGGCAAUGGGCGCAAGCCUGACCCCGCAAUGCCGCGUGAGGGAAGAAGCCCUUCGGGGUGUAAACCUCUGUCAGAUGGGAAGAUGGGACUAGGGGCUAAUACCUCCUAGUCUUGACGGUACCAUCAGAGGAAGGGACGGCUAACUACGUGCCAGCAGCCGCGGUAAU